AACGUCACUUUUUGAAUAAUUCAUUGAAUUUCGCACUUGAAAGAUUCGUUUGAGUAAAAAUUUUGUUCCCGCUUUUAAUUAGAUUUAUUACUAAGCAAUAUGUCAUCUUAAUCAAAAGGAAAUGGAUAAAUUUAUUGAAAAUAACAUUCUUAAUGCUGAAGAAAAUAUGAAAAUGACGAGUCUUGAUAAAAUUGAAACCAAGUGGAAACCUUUGGAAUUAUCUAUUCCAAUUUUGUUUUGGAUUGAUUUUCAUUUAAUUGUUGGAUUAUUAAUGAUGAUUGUUUACUUUUCAUUUUUACUGUUUGAUUAAUAAUAAUUUGUGUAAAUUGCACAAUGCUAUAA